CUCCUCACUAUCAGAAACAAACCAAUGCUCUGAAUAACAGACUUCUCUCUCAGACCGACUGAAUCAAACUUGGAUAUCACUCUAUCAAACAAUGCAACUAUGGCUGGAAGCAUUAAUAUUUGCUUCAUUUAUUCUUGAAUGCAGACCAGAAGAUAGAGUUGAUCAGCCAGAUAAUCAUGUAACUAAACCUGAAGGAGGAUCAGUCACAUUACAGUGCAAAUAUACUGCAUCUACAACAACACCAGACCUCUUCUGGUACAUCCAGAGAGAAAACGACAUUCCUAAAUACAUGCUGAGGAAAAACAAAUAUGGAGGAGAUCAGGACACUGAGUUUAAGAAGAGAUUUCACUCUGAAGUGUCAUCAGAAUCAGUUCCUCUGAUGAUCCAGGAUCUGCGUGUGUCUGACUCUGCUGUGUAUUACUGUGCUCUGAGGCCCACUGUGACUCAAACACACUCAACACUCAGACAGAAACCUUCAUCAGUGUUGAUCCCCAUUCUGACACAUUCAUUCAUUUUUACUUCAUUCUUUGUCACACAUUUUCACUAA